CAGUUAUAUCCGAACCAGUUUUCUGCUGAAAUUUCAAGAUACCAUCACAAUUGUAGCGCAGUUUUCGUGUUUGAACUAACCGACAAGAAUGAAAUAUUUCGUAAGGGGACAAAUAUUCAAAACUAAAUAGUGCUCUGAAUAAUUCUCAAUGAACAAUUCGAGGAAAUAAAUUUUCAGAAAUUACUAACCAUAAUUGGAGACAAAAUUUCCAGCUUUUAAAUCAUCGGUCAUUUUAAAUCUGUCGAAAGCCAGCUAGAGCUGCUGAGUUUCAACAAAUUGCUCCAACAAACACAAUCGAAGCUGUCAUCCAGCGAUGCAUCGGCCAUUCUCUUUAAACCGGAUCAUACGCCACCCUAUUGUUCCCAGCAACAAAGAAGACACACGUUCAACGAUGGCUCGUUAACAAAAAAAAACCGGCCGCUUUUAAUUCGUCGCAAUUCCCGAUCGGCCGUGUGGAAUCUUUCAUGGGGUCGUUAUCGUGUCGUUGAUACGCGGCCGGUUCACGGAAAAGAAAAUAGAAUGUGAUAAAGCGAGAAAAAUGGGAGUUCACGCACAUUUCGAACAGGGAGAGGAAAAAAGAACGAUGAGCGAGAGGAUACUGGAAACAGAAUGUGCUGCUGGCUUAUAAGAAAUUCAAGGAAAGCAAAUAUUCUAAUUGAAAAAAUAAACUUGGAGGUUCAGAAAUAACGUGGCAAUAAAAACGAUCGACUGAGAGGAAAUUUACAUACACCCGAUGUUGCUGUAAACCUCGAUGAAAUUAAGAAGAUUACAUCGAAUGAAUUCACUUCAGAC
rnacentral:misc_RNA from 1 species